AACGUAGGACACAAGCGUUAUCCGGAAUUACUGGGCGUAAAGGGCGCGUAGGCGGAAUGGCAAGUCGGUCGUGAAAUCCUUCGGCUCAACCGAAGAACGUCGAUCGAAACUGCCGUUCUUGAGGAUUGCAGAGGAGACUGGAAUUCCCGGUGUAGCGGUGAAAUGUGUAGAGAUCGGGAGGAACACCGGUGGCGAAGGCGGGUCUCUGGGCAAUUCCUGACGCUGAGGCGCGAAAGCGUGGGGAGCAAACGGG
rnacentral:rRNA from 1 species